rnacentral:piRNA from 1 species
UCCAUGUGCUCAGGGUUCACACACGUCCCUC